AUGAGUCCCCUCUUCCAUAGCCAAACCCAAUAGUUUUGCAAAGACAAAUAAUCGGGCACUGUACGGCAAACAGGGAUUCCGCAAAAAACGGAAACAUCUUGGGGUAGUAGAGUCGGUAGAUCCUGAGUCCACCUAACUAGAAGUUCUUUGAACAAGGUCCACACAAAAAUUUAAGAAUAUAUUAAAACAAAACAUAAAACGUCAGAAUGCAGGACAGAUUACAACAUAUUUCUAAAAAAUAACAAUAACCCUCAACACAAGGUAUAAGUACACAGUAAUUGUCGUUUUUUUUAUUAUCAAUGAAACGCACUUAACUGACAAAACAAUUUUAUUUUCUCAUUAACAACAAGAAUAUGCGUCAAAUGUACAUUGUUGUUUGUUCUGGAUUCUAUUAAAGGUCGCAAUAUUAGCGUUAUUUUAGUUUUAAGCUAAAACAACACCUAAAAACGACAUUUAGGUGGCUUGUGAAAACUGUAAUAUUUAUAUUGUUAUAUAAAGACGCUAACCAGUGCACAAAUGAAUUAUUCAAGACUCCAGUCCCGAGUCUCCCAACUUAAUGCCAAUCGAAUUCGCACUACUUCCCUUUCGGUGGUCACAGAUCUCCGAAUACCUCCCACAGAUCUUCAUGGUAGUGGCCACCGGCUCGAUGUGCGAAACCAGUGCCUGCUUGCGCUGGUGGCGCUUGUGUAUUUUCUUAAUUUUUUUCUUGUUCAUUUCUUUUAAAAGACUGUACUCUGGAUCUGCUGUUUGUGAGUAUGCCACCUGGUAGUGUUUUCUAACACUAAACGCACCAGUUCCCCCUUUCCCUUAUUGUGGUAUAUGGACUCUUGGCAAUCACUGACUGUAAUAGUGACUAAUGUACGUGAAGCAUCAUGUGAUCUAAUUCAAGUCGAAUCUAUAUAGAUUACAGUUAUGGAAGACGUCUCACCUGUGUUAUUAAGGUUAUGACAGUUUAUUUUCAGUAAUAAUAAAUGUAUGUGUACCGAAGAGUAUUUAAUUAACAUUUUAAAAAAGAAGAUAUCAUACGAAGCCUAACAACUCAUAUUGUAGUAUCCAUAAACCACAAAUUUAAAAACAAAACAAGAGGGUAUCAAAUCGAACAUAUUGCUCCCUCUAACGUCAAAUAGGCAAAACUGAUGGUAGGUUCAAAUUCAAACGUAAUUGUACGCAGCCGCGACAUUACAGUUCUCUUGUGCUGAUUUCGGUUUUUUGCGAUGAGUGCAAGAGAUAAAAAUUGGGAAAACGGCGUGAUAGAAAAAAAAUUAUUACUUUGGACUACAGUGUUUUGAAGUGAUUGUGGGAUAGUCCAAUUGGAACUGCAAGUGGUACUUCCAAAGUCUUAGAAGCAAUCCAUGACAAAUGGCAUUUCGGCGGGGAAGGUACGCGAGCGACAAAAAAAUGGAAAAAAUGUGGUAGAUUGAUUGCCCGACAUGCGCCAUUUGAUAGAAUCGUAGUCGACGUGGCAGGGCUAUUCCUAAUGACAGACUUCGAUAGCCGGUACAUCUUGGUCGGCAGAAGCUUCGCGUCAGUUUUAUUCUGGAAGGCCGACUGAACUUAUGGGUGCUACUAAACAAAUUUGAAGUGCUCGGAAGAUUAUGGAAAUUCCAUCAAGGAACAGCGCACUAUCUCUCCAGCGUAUUUACUUAUAUGUUUCAAACGUCACGGACCGAAUUGGCAGAAUCCUAAAGAGACUAUAGAGAUUUAAAAACAUCCAGAAAACUUCAACGAGAAGGAGGAUACCCUCAAACUCAACCAGAUCUGGAAUCCGAUCUAGCGGAACACUCGAACGUGAUCCACUGCCAUACCACGAUUGACUGAUCUGGAACAAGUCCUGCUACCCGGUAUAAAAACAAUUUGCGCAGGAAAAAUCACCACUUUGCUUUUUAGCGCUAGUGUCCACCCAUCAGUUCAGAGGUGGACCAUCUACAUCGACGGUUUCCUUCUACAAUACGGCAGGUCUUUGUGACAUGAUACUAAUUUAUGGGUAAUGUGAGUACAGUGUUAAUUUAACGGUCGAAUCAUACUGUGAUACAGAAAUCAAAAGAAACCAGCAGUACAUUUGGUAGACGUAUCGAAGCUUGUCCUUUAGCACGGGAUUCGAAUUUCAAAUAAUUUUUAAAGUGUUCGUACGUAUGUGUGUGUGUUUACCGCUGUUUAUUAUUUUUCUUUUAUUUUUAUUUAACCAUAGUGUUGUCUUUCUUUAUUUUUAUUUAAAGUUCGCGCCCGUUUUGCAAUUCGAUGCGAAAAAAAUGACAAUCAGAUGUAUUCUGUUGCCUCCUCUCAUCGGUAUUAAGACUUAACUGAGUCUGAGUUUUGCGUCGUUUUCUGCGCAUGUACUUAUUUAAGUCAUAUUUAUGGCAUUAAAGAGUAUAUUUCUUUUAUGUGCAUAUGAGUGUGCGCGCGCGUGUAGUGUGUGUGUGUGUGUGUGUGGUGGGAGUGAU